GGGUCAGUAGGUUGGUCGUGCCACCGGUACGUACUGGUCUCACUGAUUCCUCCUUCCUGAAGAACCGUAGUGCCAUUAAUUUGGUGUUGCGGGGAAACAGGACUGUUACUUUGAAAAAAUUAGAGUGUUUAAAGCAAGCUAACGCUUGAAUACAUUAGCAUGGAAUAAUGAAAUAGGACGAUCGAUCCUAUUUUGGUGGUUUCUAGGAUUGACGUA
rnacentral:rRNA from 1 species